rnacentral:rRNA from 1 species
AUGAACUUAAGUGGAUUAGUGGCGAACGGGUGAGUAACACGUGAGUAACCUGCCUUACACAAGGGGAUAGCCUCUGGAAACGGAGAAUAAUACCCUAUAAAGUCUAAUCAGCCCAUGCUGGAAAGACCAAAGAUUUAUCGGUGUAAGAUGGACUUGCGUCUGAUUAGCUAGUUGGUGAGAUAAAAGCUCACCAAGGCGACGAUCAGUAGCCGGCUUGAGAGAGUGUACGGCCACAUUGGGACUGAGACACGGCCCAAACUCCUACGGGAGGCAGCAGUGGGGAAUUUUGCACAAUGGGGGAAACCCUGAUGCAGCGACGCCGCGUGAUUUAGAAGGCCUUCGGGUUGUAAAAAUCUUUUUUACGGGAUGAAAAUGACAGUACCGUAAGAAUAAGGUCCGGCUAAAUACGUGCCAGCAGCCGCGGUAAUACGUAUGGACCGAGCGUUGUCCGGAAUCAUUGGGCGUAAAGGGUACGUAGGCGGCCUAGUAAGUUAGAAGUUAUAAGAAUAUAGCUGCAACUGAUGAUAAAGCUGUUUUAAAACUGCUAGGCUUUGAGAGAUGGAAGGGAAAGUGGAAUUCCUAGUGUAGCGGUGAAAUGCGCAGAUAUUAGGAAGAAUACCGGUGGCGAAGGCGACUUUCUGGUCAUCAUCUGACGCUGAGGUACGAAAGCGUGGGUAGCAAACAGGAUUAGAUACCCUGGUAGUCCACGCCGUAAACGAUGAGUGGCUAAGUGGUUAGGGGGUUUCCGCCCCUUAUGUGUCGGCAGCUACGCAUUAAGCA